rfam:Firmicutes bacterium CAG:114 genomic scaffold, scf200
GACGCCCUGCUCGGUGCGUGGAACUGGACCCUUUUAAACCCACAUUUUUGAAACGGGACGCUCACUCGCUGUGUGAACUGCAGGCCUCCCAGCCUCGGCUGGAAGUUGGAAGCAACGAAGCACCGCGGAGGCAACCCACCUGCCAUCUCGUGCAGGUUUUAAUUGGGUCCCCACGGCCAGAGCGGGGCUUUC